GAGAUGACUUUUUAAUGGAACAGUUGACGUUUUGACUUUCAUGACAAGCUAGCAAUAUUGAACACAAUGUUUGGAUUUAAACAAAACAAACUAAUUUUUAGAAAUUAGAAUUAUUUCCCUAAAUAUUAGAAGAUACAUUGUGUUCUUAGAUUAACUCACCACAGUCAAUCAAUUAUGAGUAUGACUCUGCUUGGUUCUGUUCUCAGUCUAGUUGUAGUCUUAUUUUAUGUUCCUCAGAUAUUAGAUGACAAAUUGAAACACAAAAUUAUUCCACUGUUACAGCUUGGCAAAAAUCCAAAUAUGAAAGAAAACUGCCCUGUUUCAAGCCAUUUAUGGGCAGUGAAAAGAUUUGUCAGGGAUAGGCUUCAUGAGCUUUAUCUCCUGUUUUCAUUGGUGACAAAGAAGCCUUAUUUUGUGUCAGUUAUUUAUCCUCAUGCAUCCAGGAAUUUGCAGAAUCCCAGCUUAGCUUCUAACUAUCCAAAUCUUUUCUCUUUUUUUGGCCUUCCAUUCAUGGAGAACACCUAGAUUAGUCUCUGCAGAUUUCUUGGUAAGGUUUUUCAGAAAUGGUUUGUCACUGUUUCCUCCUUAGGGCUGAGAAAAAGUAACUGGUCCCAAGGGCACCCAGUUGGCUAUGUGCCCAAAGCAGGACAGAAACUCACCUUCCAGUUUUUAAUCUGAUGCCUUAACCAUUACACCAAACCGCUCUCAAAAUCUUUAUUACAAGAAGGCAAAUAGUGCAGUCUUUGGUCUUAUGCUGUACAGAAACAGGGUUAUGGGGGGUUAUGUUUGUAAGUGUGACUAGUGUGUAUUUAUUGCUCAUUCACCUACUUGUCAUGCUUGUCUCUCCUAUAGGAGGGGGGGAAAGUAGCAAGAAAAGAAAUACCUCUCCACUAUGUUUCAUAUUGCUACUCUUCUCUUUGGUUUUCUUACCAGUAGUGCCACCUUCACUGUCUUCCUCAUCUCCUACCAUCUCAUUUUUCCCCAUUUUCAUUGAGUAUCCUGAUGCUGCCAUUUAUAAUUUACAUGUUAUUAAACUGGUAUAGAAAAAAAAAUGAACUGAAUGUAUGUUUUGAAUGUAGCUAAACUGCUUCAACAGCUUUCUCCAACCUAAUCUCAAGUGGAAAUGAAGGACAUUGCAGGAUGUUGCUUCAAAUCCAUUUUGGCUGACCAGUUGGAAACAUUGCCAUUGGGCCAAGUUCUAAUUUCCUCCUACACUAAUGGGUAUUUCUAUCUGAAGAGAGAAGCCAUGUUGUCUCCCUGAGAGAAGUUGUCAAUUUACACCUUACAUGAGGAAGACGCUUUAGAUUCAUUGGGUUCAAAUAUGUUAACACUUAUAGAAAUGCCUUAAUUAGUACCUUAGAGUAAAAUUUACUCUCGUGUCGAGAUAAUCUGACUUGAAAAAUCAGGCCAUUGCUAAAUUUUGGCAAAAUACUGGAAACUCAAUAUGAUUUGCUUGCUCAUUUAUGGAUUGAUCUCUCUAUGCCUCCUCAAAUCUGAGAAUCUUAUCCACGUAUCACAUAUUACACACUUGUAACGUUGAUAAUUACUGUGUUAAUGUGUUUUGAUGUUAAUUGUUGGCCUUGAAAUGACAGAUGACCAACAUAAUAAACAGUUGCUGUAAAGGCAGCAGCAUCAACU